rnacentral:lncRNA from 1 species
AUGCCUAAGCAUUUCGUCCAGUGAUUCUCAGAUGAGCUGCCAACCAUACAAUGACAUGAAACAGAACAUGCCUAACCAAUCCCAGCUGCGUUUUGUUGUCCUGUGUAGUCUCCCGCCAGAAUUGCUUCCCAGUGACGUAUCAUGUCACAAAACUUGAACAUUGAUCUCCCAAUCUAUUUACCACACCAAUACCAAGUCAGCGCCUUGGUUUCAAGCUGCAGUUUGUGAAUAGAGACUGGCCUGUCCUUGAACACCUAGCCAUUUAUGUGCUUUCAUACGACCCACACUGCUUGUAGGGAAUAAGAGGCCCCCAGCGGUUGGUGAGAGCAAGAGACCAUUGGAGAAUAAUAUAAACCCUAACUCUUCCAAUUUAUUGAGAGCAAGAGAUAUUGAGAGCAAAAGUUUAUUUUAAUUACACCACAUUAUAAUAAGUGCGCAGGGAUGGAGCCAGGAUUUUUG